rnacentral:tRNA from 1 species
GGGCGGGUGGCGGAACCUGGGAGACGCGCUGGACUUAGGAUCCAGUGGCUUCAAAGCCGUGCGGGUUCAAAUCCCGCCCCGCCCACCA